UGACAACAUCAAUUAUGUCAGUUGUGACCAAAUUAUCUUUUGUUUUUAGUGACCAAAAAUGGCUAUUGUUGUGGUUCCUGUGUAACGUUAUUCGAAUUAUUACGGAAAUAAUAACCAAUAAGCUUGUGAAUCGCAAAAUAAAUUAAAUUUAUACAAUGGUGAAGUGUGCAGUUGUUGCCUGCACCAACAAAACCCAAACAAAACUAGCGGGAAUUUAAUUUCACAAGUUAGUAUUAAAAUCUUUGAUUUUUCUGUUGAUAUUGAGUAUUUUAAAGGUAUUUUUUUUUUAAUUAGGCCCAUUGACUAAUUUAAAGCUUUACAAUACGUGGUUUUAUGGGCAAUCCGUUAAAGAAUUGAAUUAUUUCACGAGUUUUGGUUUGACCAUAUAUGUAGUGUUGAGAAAGUGUUGUUUACAAUAUCGAUGAAUAAUUUCCAAAAAAUCAUAAUUUAAGACAAAAAUGGCUAAACAGCAUUAACAGGCCUAAUUUCAAGCCAUCACGAUACAGCUGCAUAUGUAGUGAUCAUUUUAAGAAGGAUCACAUUAAUUUAACAUGCUUUCCGCGCCUCAAAAACAAUGCCUGUCCAUCUAUCCCGAAUUUAUCACCUGAGCAACAAGUAAGACAACCCUUGCAAGAAGUGAAGCUUAAUCUGUUAUCAGAGAGUCAUGACAAUGCUGUUUCCCAAAAUGGAAUACAAGUAUUGUAUUGUAUUGUCAAAAACAUACUUAAAAACUAAAAUUUUCUUGUAAUAACGUCUCAAAAAAAUAUGAAAAAAAAAAUUUGUCUGGUAGAACGAUAAUCAAAUUUUAAAAGACCAUUUAUAAAAAAGUGUCAACUAGCUAUUACUUUUUGUUAUGUAUAACGUCCUUGUAUCAAAAAUUGUAAGUUUUGCAACUUCUAUAUGGUUCGUAUCGUACUGACAAGAGAACGUAUUCGUUUUUGAAUUUCAUUUUCGUAGUAGGUACGACACCGUCAUGUUCCGUACGCUCCAUCUGUAUAUUAUUGAUUAAUCUGUGUUAGAUACAAAACAAUUUAAUGAGAAAAUCAAUUGUAUGGAAUUUUAUAUUAUAAUAAUGUAAGACAGAAUUUAAAAUGUUUCAUUUUAGUAAACAUAAUAUUUUGUAUAAUUUAUUAAUUUUAUAUCGAGUGCUUAAUU